rnacentral:rRNA from 1 species
GCAGCAACGCCGCGUGCGGGAUGACGGCCUUCGGGUUGUAAACCGCUUUCAGCAGGGACGAAGCAACACGUGACGGUACCUGCAGAAGAAGCACCGGCCAACUACGUGCCAGCAGCCGCGGUGAUACGUAGGGUGCGAGCGUUGUCCGGAAUUAUUGGGCGUAAAGAGCUUGUAGGCGGUCUAUUGCGUCGAAAGUGAAAACUCAGGGCUCAACCCUGAGCCUGCUCUCGAUACGGGUAGACUUGAGGGAUGUAGGGGAGAACGGAAUUCUUGGUGGAGCGGUGGAAUGCGCAGAUAUCAGGAGGAACACCGGUGGCGAAGGCGGUUCUCUGGACAUUUCCUGACGCUGAGAAGCGAAAGCGUGGGUAGCAAACAGGCUUAGAUACCCUGGUAGUCCACGCCGUAAACGGUGGGUACUAGGUGUGGGGGACAUUCCACGUUCUCCGUGCCGCAGCUAACGCAUUAAGUACCCCGCCUGGGGAGUACGGCCGCAAGGCUAAAACUCAAAGGAAUUGACGGGGCCCCGCACAAGCGGCGGAGCAUGCGGAUUAAUUCGAUGCAACGCGAAGAACCUUACCUGGGUUUGACAUAUGCCGGAAAGGCCUAGAGAUAGGUCCCCCCUUGU